rnacentral:rRNA from 1 species
UGCAUGGUUGUCGUCAGCUCGUGCCGUGAGGUGUCGGGUUAGGUCCCAUAACGAGCGCAACCCCUAUCAUUAGUUGCCAUCAGGUCAAGCUGGGGACUCUAAUGAAACUGCCUACGCAAGUAGUGAGGAAGGUGGGGAUGACGUCAAAUCAGCACGGCCCUUACGUCCAGGGCUACACACGUGCUACAAUGGCCGAUACAGAGGGCAGCUACCUGGUGACAGGAUGCAAAUCUCCAAAAGUCGGUCUCAGUUCGGAUCGGAGUCUGCAACCCGACUCCGUGAAGUUGGAUUCGCUAGUAAUCGCGCAUCAGCCAUGGCGCGGUGAAUACGUUCCCGGCCUU